rnacentral:rRNA from 1 species
AGUGAACGCUGGCGAUAGGCCUAACACAUGCAAGUCGAACGGCAGCACAGUAAGAGCUUGCUCUUACGGGUGGCGAGUGGCGGACGGGUGAGGAAUACAUCGGAAUCUACUUUUUCGUGGGGGAUAACGUAGGGAAACUUACGCUAAUACCGCAUACGACCUACGGGUGAAGGCAGGGGAUCUUCGGACCUUGCGCGAUUGAAUGAGCCGAUGUCGGAUUAGCUAGUUGGCGGGGUAAAGGCCCACCAAGGCGACGAUCCGUAGCUGGUCUGAGAGGAUGAUCAGCCACACUGGAACUGAGACACGGUCCAGACUCCUACGGGAGGCAGCAGUGGGGAAUAUUGGACAAUGGGCGCAAGCCUGAUCCAGCCGUACCGCGUGGGUGAAGAAGGCCUUCGGGUUGUAAAGCCCUUUUGUUGGGAAAGAAAAGCAGCAGGUUAAUACCCCGCUGUUCUGACGGUACCCAAAGAAUAAGCACCGGCUAACUUCGUG